ensembl:lncRNA
GUAUUACGUUUCCUUCUUUUUUUAAUUUAGUCGACAAUAUUUAGAAUUUAGGAAAAUUUACAUUUAAAAAAAAAUCUAGAUUUCCAACUUCAGUUGAAAAAUUGGAAGAUCUGGCAUACUUUCACCAAUGGCAAUGGUCAACUGGAGCUGAGUGGCAGCUUCCCCUCUUAGAUGGAGCACGCAAUCUCCAAUUUGCCCCAGUCCCCACUACUCCCUCUUGUAACACACCGGCUCCACUUGAAUCGUGUACCUGCCUGGUUUCCAGCUUUUUCUAGGUUUGAGCCACUUUGCUUUCCAUAAAGACGGCUUCCCAGCAGCUCUCACAAAGCCCAGAGGCCAAACUUAUCACUUGGGACCCCUCGAUUGAAAAAUACCACCAGAGUUGGUAGCUCACCACGUCCCCAAGCCACACCUGACAGCUUUCCCCCAAAACCAUUCAGCAGUUAUCAGUUUGGGCAAAAAUUGUUCUUAUUAUCAAGCCGAAUAGGAGGAUUCAAGGAGAGUGCUGAUAAAUCCAUCAGCAAGCACUCUGCCUGGAGAAGAGGUGGCCCCGGAGGGGAAGGUUGCCUCUGUCCUGUCCUUUCAGCCCCGAAGCCGGUGAGCUGGGGAGCCCUGCCAGUGGUCUGGUUGCCAUUGUAGCCUACCCGCGGCUCUCCAGCCCUCUUCUGUGGCAGUAGAGAAAGCAGCAGGCCCAGGAAACACUUUUCUGUCUCCUAAUGCAGACCCAGGCUGGCCCAGGACGAGCUUUCCUCGGAAUCAGAGGCCAGUGUCCCCGCAGACCUCGGGAGGCCAGGGCUUGGGAGGUGCUGUGCUCCUCGAUUCCAUCACCUGCUUCUGUGCAGCCCCCCGAUCAGGCUCCAACUCUCAUCCGCAGCCGAGGAGGGACGCAUCCGCGGCCGGCGGUAACGAGGGAGGGAUGCAGAGGAAGCAGGGUGCCCACACUCAGCAGGGUGCCGUCAAGUGGCCUCUGGGCUGGGGCCUCUCCGCGUGGUCCCCCUUCUUCCCGAGCAUCUCUCAGGUCCUGGAACACAGUCCCGCAGCCCCCUCGCUGGCGGUCUGUGUCUUUCCUCUGCCGGCGUUCCUGGUGGUACAGCGUCCGGCAACCCUACCCAGCCCAGUGCCUGGGAGAAUGGCACUGGAGGCCAACUGACUGAGUUUGAGUCCCAGCUCGGCCACUUAUAGGCUGUGUGACCUUGCGCAAGUUACCUGAACCCCCUGUGCCUCAGUUUCUACAUCUGUCUAUUGAGGAUAAGAAUGGCGCCUGCCUGGCUGGGGUGUGGGGGGAUGGAGGCAGGCUUAAGGAUGCCCGCACAGGCCAGCUCUGGAUCAACAUUAGUCAUCAUCACCCAGACACGCGCUGACAAUGGCUAGGAACAAAGGGACGCCAAGGCCUUGCUAAUCCUCCACGCUCACCCUCGGCACUCGGCUUUCCCCAGGCCCUGGGAUGAGCUGCCUUCCUUUCUCCAUCAGCACCUUCCCAUCCUCUUCCCUCCGUCCCAGUGGCUCUCUCCCCCUCGCCUGGUCAACCCCUCUUCCCCUCACGUCUGCGACCAGCAUCCCUCCAGCUUCUCCUUCACUCAUUCAGCAAUCAUCAUCCAGCACCUACUAUGUGGCGGUCUCUGCUUUAGAUCAAGGGUCAGCGAACUGUGGCCCUAGGGCCAAAUCCAGCUGGCCAGCUGCUUCCAUGCAGCCCUCCAGCUAAGAAUUAUUUUUACACUUUUAAAUAGUCGGGGAAAAAUCAAAAGAAGAAGAACAUUUCGUGACACAUGAAAAUUACAUGAAAUUCAAAUUUCAGGAUCCACAAAUAAAGUUUGAUUGGCCCAGGGCCACCCUCCUUCAUCGACACACCUUCUGUGGGGGCGUCCGAGCCACAGCCGCAGGAUGGAACAGCUGCAGCAGAGGCCACGUGGCCUGCAGAGGCUAAAAUAUGUAUUAUCUUACCCAGAAUGCCUGCCAAGCCCUGAUCGAAAUGCUGGGGAUACAGCCAUUAAGACAAAAACAAAGAAACCCGGACAAAAAUCUCUGGUCUUGCAGAAGCCCUUUGGGGGGCGGGGGACAGACGGUCAACAAGAGCCAUCACUAAGGGGCGCGUGUGCAGCAGUGAACAGGGUCACCGGGAAGAUAAGGC